rnacentral:rRNA from 1 species
UACGUAGGGUCCGAGCGUUGUCCGGAAUUAUUGGGCGUAAAGGGCUCGUAGGCGGUUCGUCACGUCGGGAGUGAAAACUCGGGGCUUAACCCCGAGCCUGCUUUCGAUACGGGCAGACUAGAGGUAGGCAGGGGAGAGCGGAACUCCUGGUGUAGCGGUGGAAUGCGCAGAUAUCAGGAAGAACACCGGUGGCGAAGGCGGCUCUCUGGGCCUUACCUGACGCUGAGGAGCGAAAGCGUGGGUAGCGAACAGG